rnacentral:rRNA from 1 species
CACGUAGGGUGCGAGCGUUGUCCGGAAUUAUUGGGCGUAAAGAGCUCGUAGGCGGUGUGUCGCGUCGGCCGUGAAAACCUGCAGCUUAACUGUGGGCGUGCGGUCGAUACGGGCAUCACUGGAGUUCGGCAGGGGAGACUGGAAUUCCUGGUGUAGCGGUGAAAUGCGUAGAUAUCGGGAGGAACACCAGUGGCGAAGGCGACUACCUGGCCUGUUCUUGACGCUGAGGCGCGAAAGCUGAGGGAGCAGACGGGG